rnacentral:rRNA from 1 species
AUUGAACGCUGGCGGCAUGCCUUACACAUGCAAGUCGAACGGCAGCACGGAGCUUGCUCUGGUGGCGAGUGGCGAACGGGUGAGUAAUAUAUCGGAACGUACCCUAGAGUGGGGGAUAACGUAGCGAAAGUUACGCUAAUACCGCAUACGAUCUAAGGAUGAAAGUGGGGGAUCGCAAGACCUCAUGCUCGUGGAGCGGCCGAUAUCUGAUUAGCUAGUUGGUAGGGUAAAAGCCUACCAAGGCAUCGAUCAGUAGCUGGUCUGAGAGGACGACCAGCCACACUGGAACUGAGACACGGUCCAGACUCCUACGGGAGGCAGCCGUGGGGAAUUUUGGACAAUGGGCGAAAGCCUGAUCCAGCAAUGCCGCGUGAGUGAAGAAGGCCUUCGGGUUGUAAAGCUCUUUUGUCAGGGAAGAAACGGUGGGAGCUAAUAUCUCUUGCUAAUGACGGUACCUGAAGAAUAAGCACCGGCUAACUACGUGCCAGCAGCCGCGGUGAUACGUAGGGUGCAAGCGUUAAUCGGAAUUACUGGGCGUAAAGCGUGCGCAGGCGGUUUUGUAAGUCUGAUGUGAAAUCCCCGGGCUCAACCUGGGAAUUGCAUUGGAGACUGCAAGGCUAGAAUCUGGCAGAGGGGGGUAGAAUUCCACGUGUAGCAGUGAAAUGCGUAGAUAUGUGGAGGAACACCGAUGGCGAAGGCAGCCCCCUGGGUCAAGAUUGACGCUCAUGCACGAAAGCGUGGGGAGCAAACAGGAUUAGAUACCCUGGUAGUCCACGCCCUAAACGAUGUCUACUAGUUGUCGGGUCUUAAUUGACUUGGUAACGCAGCUAACGCGUGAAGUAGACCGCCUGGGGAGUACGGUCGCAAGAUUAAAACUCAAAGGAAUUGACGGGGACCCGCACAAGCGGUGGAUGAUGUGGAUUAAUUCGAUGCAACGCGAAAAACCUUACCUACCCUUGACAUGGCUGGAAUCCUUGAGAGAUCAGGGAGUGCUCGAAAGAGAACCAGUACACAGGUGCUGCAUGGCUGUCGUCAGCUCGUGUCGUGAGAUGUUGGGUUAAGUCCCGCAACGAGCGCAACCCUUGUCAUUAGUUGCUACGAAAGGGCACUCUAAUGAGACUGCCGGUGACAAACCGGAGGAAGGUGGGGAUGACGUCAAGUCCUCAUGGCCCUUAUGGGUAGGGCUUCACACGUCAUACAAUGGUACAUACAGAGCGCCGCCAACCCGCGAGGGGGAGCUAAUCGCAGAAAGUGUAUCGUAGUCCGGAUUGUAGUCUGCAACUCGACUGCAUGAAGUUGGAAUCGCUAGUAAUCGCGGAUCAGCAUGUCGCGGUGAAUACGUUACCGGGUCU